UACGAAGGGUGCAAGCGUUACUCGGAAUUACUGGGCGUAAAGCGUGCGUAGGUGGUGAGUUAAGUCUGUCGUGAAAGCCCCGGGCUCAACCUUUGAACGCCGAUGGAUACUGCCGGGCUAGAGUCCGGAAGAGGCGAGUGGAAUUCCAGGUGUAGCGGUGAAAUGCGUAGAUAUCUGGAGGAAUACCGGUGGCGAAGGCGGCAUCCUGGACCGGCAUUGACGCUGAGGAGCGAAAGCCAGGGGAGCAAACGGG
rnacentral:rRNA from 1 species